AUGAAAAUAAGUGUAUCCUCUGAAUUCUCAGCUUUAAAUCCUACAAACAAGUUGAGUAGAGGCAUGGAUCGGUCAAGUUCACCUCUUACACUGAAGUCAGGAAUGUGUGCUAUUAUAAUUGCAGCAUUCCAGGUGAAUACUGUGAUGUCCAGUAAGCCUGGGGCCAUAUCUUUCUGAAAAACAACGGGCUUUGAAAUUUGAGGGUUUGUUUCCGUUUCUCUAAAAUAUAGAGAAUUUAGGAUGAUAGUGUCUGUGCUCUCUCAGAGACAGAAACUAUUAAUGGUGUGAUAGUGAGAUGCACUGUCGAAGAAAGGGGUUCAGCCUGCCUUUGAUGGAAGCACAGCUCUUUUCAGAAAGGUAUUAGUUCUCUUAAUACACAGAAAAAGAGAGUGUGAAGAAGCAAAGUUUCCUUUCCAGAGUAGAGUACAGUGAAUUUAAGUUUCAAAGGGGAAAUCUUAAGCCCUGAGGAGAGGAGGAAAGGCAGCGAGGGAGGGAAGUGGGGCCCAAGGGCUUAGAUAGGACAAUAGUCCGGGAUAAAUCGUUCAAUGCUCUGAGAAAUUGUUCCUUAUGAUUUUUCUAUAUAUAAAGGUUCAUACCAGUCAGCGGAGUCUGAUAGAAAACCCACUGGACUUUAAGUUAGAAGACUGAAUUCUAAGAUUGGACUUGUGACAAAUUGCCUGAUCUGAAGGAAGUCGAUAAGCUUGAAGGUGCCUAUAAAACAGGGAUAGUGACUUGUGCCCCGUCUCUGUCCAGCUGGGUCACUGACAGCCUCGGAGGCAAUGAUGCCAGCUCCUUUGAAGAAGACAGUAUAGGUGGCAUUGCAUUUAAAUACUGGACUUUUCAAUAGAAAACUCUUUUGAAAUGUACCAAAUAAUAACCUUAGGGAAAUGUGACCAUUAUUUACAUUUUUGAUUUGAGAAGUAAAGCAAAGACUGCCAAGCAAUGUCUAGAAAACAAUCUAUUACACUAGACCAUCAGGAAAACCGUAAGAAUAAAUAGUACCACACCAGUUCUGGACUUUUUGAA
rnacentral:lncRNA from 1 species